CUGCCGAGUGGCGCACGGGUGCGUAACGCGUAGAUAACCUGCCCUCGGGUGGGGGAUAACCCAGGGAAACCUGGGCUAAUACCGCAUAAAGUCCGGGUGGCGCAUGCCACCUGGAUGAAAGCCCUUCGGGGCGCCUGAGGAUGGGUCUGCGUCCUAUCAGCUAGUUGGUGAGGUAACGGCUCACCAAGGCUACGACGGGUAGCUGGUCUGAGAGGAUGAUCAGCCACACUGGCACUGAGACACGGGCCAGACUCCUACGGGAGGCAGCAGUGGGGAAUCUUGGGCAAUGGGCGCAAGCCUGACCCAGCCACGCCGCGUGGAGGAUGACGCCCCUAUGGGGCGUAAACUCCUUUUCUGGGGGAAGAAACCCCGGCUACGGCCGGGGCUGACGGUACCCCAGGAAUAAGCGCCGGCUAACUCCGUGCCAGCAGCCGCGGUAAUACGGAGGGCG
rnacentral:rRNA from 1 species